rnacentral:rRNA from 1 species
AUGAACGCUAGCUACAGGCUUAACACAUGCAAGUCGAGGGGCAGCAUGGUCUUAGCUUGCUAAGGCCGAUGGCGACCGGCGCACGGGUGAGUAACACGUAUCCAACCUGCCGUCUACUCUUGGACAGCCUUCUGAAAGGAAGAUUAAUACAAGAUGGCAUCAUGAGUCCGCAUGUUCACAUGAUUAAAGGUAUUCCGGUAGACGAUGGGGAUGCGUUCCAUUAGAUAGUAGGCGGGGUAACGGCCCACCUAGUCUUCGAUGGAUAGGGGUUCUGAGAGGAAGGUCCCCCACAUUGGAACUGAGACACGGUCCAAACUCCUACGGGAGGCAGCAGUGAGGAAUAUUGGUCAAUGGGCGAGAGCCUGAACCAGCCAAGUAGCGUGAAGGAUGACUGCCCUAUGGGUUGUAAACUUCUUUUAUAAAGGAAUAAAGUCGGGUAUGCAUACCCGUUUGCAUGUACUUUAUGAAUAAGGAUCGGCUAACUCCGUGCCAGCAGCCGCGGUAAUACGGAGGAUCCGAGCGUUAUCCGGAUUUAUUGGGUUUAAAGGGAGCGUAGAUGGAUGUUUAAGUCAGUUGUGAAAGUUUGCGGCUCAACCGUAAAAUUGCAGUUGAUACUGGAUAUCUUGAGUGCAGUUGAGGCAGGCGGAAUUCGUGGUGUAGCGGUGAAAUGCUUAGAUAUCACGAAGAACUCCGAUUGCGAAGGCAGCCUGCUAAGCUGCAACUGACAUUGAGGCUCGAAAGUGUGGGUAUCAAACAGGAUUAGAUACCCUGGUAGUCCACACGGUAAACGAUGAAUACUCGCUGUUUGCGAUAUACGGCAAGCGGCCAAGCGAAAGCGUUAAGUAUUCCACCUGGGGAGUACGCCGGCAACGGUGAAACUCAAAGGAAUUGACGGGGGCCCGCACAAGCGGAGGAACAUGUGGUUUAAUUCGAUGAUACGCGAGGAACCUUACCCGGGCUUAAAUUGCAGAUGAAUUACGGUGAAAGCCGUAAGCCGCAAGGCAUCUGUGAAGGUGCUGCAUGGUUGUCGUCAGCUCGUGCCGUGAGGUGUCGGCUUAAGUGCCAUAACGAGCGCAACCCUUGUUGUCAGUUACUAACAGGUUCUGCUGAGGACUCUGACAAGACAGCCAUCGUAAGAUGUGAGGAAGGUGGGGAUGACGUCAAAUCAGCACGGCCCUUACGUCCGGGGCUACACACGUGUUACAAUGGGGGGUACAGAAGGCAGCUACACAGCGAUGUGAUGCUAAUCCCAAAAGCCUCUCUCAGUUCGGAUUGGAGUCUGCAACCCGACUCCAUGAAGCUGGAUUCGCUAGUAAUCGCGCAUCAGCCACGGCGCGGUGAAUACGUUCCCGGGCCUUGUACACACCGCCCGUCAAGCCAUGGGAGCCGGGGGUACCUGAAGUGCGUAACCGCGAGGAGCGCCCUAGGGUAAAACUGGUGACUGGGGCU